rnacentral:rRNA from 1 species
GCUUGCUCUGUGGAUCAGUGGCGAACGGGUGAGUAACACGUGAGCAAUCUGCCCCUGACUCUGGGAUAAGCGCUGGAAACGGCGUCUAAUACCGGAUAUGAGCUGCGGCCGCAUGGUCGGCAGUUGGAAAGAAUUUCGGUCAGGGAUGAGCUCGCGGCCUAUCAGCUUGUUGGUGAGGUAAUGGCUCACCAAGGCGUCGACGGGUAGCCGGCCUGAGAGGGUGACCGGCCACACUGGGACUGAGACACGGCCCAGACUCCUACGGGAGGCAGCAGUGGGGAAUAUUGCACAAUGGGCGGAAGCCUGAUGCAGCAACGCCGCGUGAGGGAUGACGGCCUUCGGGUUGUAAACCUCUUUUAGCAGGGAAGAAGCGAAAGUGACGGUACCUGCAGAAAAAGCGCCGGCUAACUACGUGCCAGCAGCCGCGGUAAUACGUAGGGCGCAAGCGUUAUCCGGAAUUAUUGGGCGUAAAGAGCUCGUAGGCGGUCUGUCGCGUCUGCUGUGAAAUCCCGAGGCUCAACCUCGGGUCUGCAGUGGGUACGGGCAGACUAGAGUGCGGUAGGGGAGAUUGGAAUUCCUGGUGUAGCGGUGGAAUGCGCAGAUAUCACGAGGAACACCGAUGGCGAAAGGCAGAUCUCUGGGCCGUAACUGACGCUGAGGAGCGAAAGGGUGGGGAGCAAACAGGCUUAGAUACCCUGGUAGUCCACCCCGUAAACGUUGGGAACUAGUU